GGUCAACAAAUAACACUCAAACAUAAAAGAGAAUAAUGAAGAACAAUGCAAAAUGGAGGAGAAUAGGGGAUACGGAGGAAACUUACCUGACAAGUAUUUCCCCAUAAACUUCUCUUUACCUCGAGAAACUUGAAAAUUCUACCCUUACGCUUAUAGAAGGUAGCGAAAGGUGUAGAGAUCAAAUGUAAAAGCGAGAAUUACAAAAUUAACUCUUAAGGCUUAAUAUGGUUGAAAGGAAAUCAAAUUCUGCCCAUACGAAACUAAAGAAAUGAGGAAUAGACAACGCAACAUCAAGAUAAAAACAAAGAAAGAAAUUAUUGGAUUCAAUAUUAAUUUUCUAGAACACACAUAUAGUAAACAUAUAACACGAAAACAUAAAAGAUAAAUAAGAAGAACAACGCAAAAUUUGAGAGAAUAGGGAAUAUGGAGAAAACUUAUCGAAGAACUAAUUCCCAAUAAACUUCUCUUGACAAGGGGAAACCUAAAAAUUCUACCCUUACGCUUAAAGCAAUGUAGAGAAAGGAGUAGAGAUCAAAUUUUAAAACCACAAUGUACUUGAAAGUAAAUAAAAUUUUUUUGAUAAGAAACUAAAGAAAUGAAAAAUAGAAAACACAACAUAGAGCUCUAAAAAAAACAAUGAAAUCAAAGGAUUGAAAAUUCAUUAUCUACUAGAUACACGCAGUGAACAAAUAACACUCAAAUAUAAAAGAGAAGAAUAAAGAACAAUGCGAAAUGGAGGAGAAUAGGGGAUACGGAGAAAACUUACCUGACAAGUAUUUUCAAACAAACUUCUCCUUUCCUCGGGAAACCUGAAAAUUCUACUUUCACGCUUACCUAACAAGUAUGUGUACUAGAAAAUUAAUUUUGAAUUCGUUAAUUUCUUUAUUUGUUUUUUAUCUUGAUCUUGCGUUGUCUAUUCCUCAUUUCUUUAGUUUUGUACCUGCAUAAUUUGAUUUUCUUUCAAUGAUAUUGUUCCUUAAGAGUUAAUUUUGUUAUUCUCAUUUUUACGUUUGAUUAAGCGUAAGGGUAAAAUUUUCAAGUUUCCCGAGGAAAAGUGAGGUUUGUUUGAAAAUACUUGUCAGGUAAGUUUUCUCCGUAUCCCCUAUUCUCCUCCAUUUCGCAUUGUUCUUCAUUCUUCUCUUUUAUAUUUGAGUGUUAUUUGUUCACUGCGUGUAUCUAGUAGAUAAUGAAUUUUCAAUCCUUUGAUGUCAUUGUCUUUUUUAGAACUCUAUGUUGUGUUUUCUAUUUUUCAUUUCUUUAGUUUCUUAUCAAAAAAAUUUUAUUUACUUUCAAGUACAUUGUGGUUUUAAAAUUUGAUCUCUACUCCUUUCUCUACCUUGCUUUUAGCGUAAGGGUAGAAUUUUUAGGUUUCCUCUAGUUCAGAGAAGGUUAUUAGGAAUUAGUUCUUCCAUAAGUUUUCUCCAUGUUCCCUAUUCUAUCAAAUUUUGCAUUGUUAUUCUUAUUUAUUUUUUAUGUUUUCGUGUUAUAUGUUUACUAUAUGUGUGUUCUAGAAAAUUAAUAUUGAAUCAAAUAAUUUCUUUCUUUGUUUUUAUCUUGAUGUUGCGUUGUCUAUUCCUCAUUUCUUUAGUUUCGUAUGGGCAGAAUUUGAUUUCCUUUACAACAUAUUAAGCCUUAAGAGUUAAUUUUCUAAUUCUCGUUUUUACAUUUGAUCUCUACACUUUUCGCUACCUUCUAUAAGCGUAAGGGUAGAAUUUUCAAGUUUCUCGAGGUAAAGAGAAGUUUAUGGGGAAAUACUUGUCAGGUAAGUUUCCUCCGUAUCCCCUAUUCUCCUCCAUUUUGCAUUGUUCUUUAUUAUUCCCUUUUAUGUUUGAGUGUUAUUUGUUGACCGCUUGUGUGUAGUAAAGAAUUAAUUUUCAAUCCUUUGAUUCCUUUGUUUGUUUUUAAAAGCUUGAUGUUGUGUUUUUUAUUCCUUAUUUCUUUAGUUUCGUAUCAGAAUAAUUUGAUUUAUUUUCAAGGACAUUGUGGUUUUAACAUUUGAUAUCUACUCCUUUCUCUAUCUUGCUUUAAGAAGAAUGGUAGAAUUUUCAGGUUUUCCGUGGUAAAGAGAAGUUUAUUGGGAAUUANNNNNNNNNNNNNNNNNNNNNNNNNNNNNNNNNNNNNNNNNNNNNNNNNNNNNNNNNNNNNNNNNNNNNNNNNNNNNNNNNNNNNNNNNNNNNNNNNNNNAACAGUGCAAAAUUUGAGAGAAUAGGGAAUACGGAGGAAACUUAUUCAAGAACUAAUUCCCAAUAAACUUCUCUUUACCACGAGAAACCUGAAAAUUCUACCCUUAUGCUUAAUGCAAGGUAGAGAAAGGAGUAGAGAUAAAAUGUUAAAACCACAAUAUCCUUAAGAGUAAAUAAAAUUAUUCGGAUACGAAACUAAAGAUAUGAGCAAUAGAAAACACAACAUUAAACUUUUAAAAACAAACAAAGGAAUCAAAGGAUUGAAAAUUAAUUCUAUACUACACACAAGCGGUCAACAAAUAACACUCAAACAUAAAAGAGAAUAAUGAAGAAGAAUGCAAAAUGGAGGAGAAUAUGGGAUACGGAGGAAACUUACUUGACAAGUAUUUCCUCAUAAACUUCUCUUUACCUCGAGAAACUUGAAAAUUCUACCCUUACGCUUAUAGAAGGUAGCGAAAGGUAUAGAGAUCAAAUGUAAAAACGAGAAUUACAAAAUUAACUCUUAAGGCUUAAUAUGGUUGAAAAGGAAAUCAAAUUUUGCCGAUACGAAACUAAAGAAAUGAGGAAUAGACAACGCAACAUCAAGAUAAAAACAAAGAAAGAAAUUAUUGGAUUGAAUAUUAAUUUUCUAGAACACACAUAUAGUAAACAUAUAACACGAAAACAUAAAAGAUAAAUAAGAAGAACAACGCAAAAUUUGAGAGGAUAGGGAAUAUGGAGAAAACUUAUCGAAGAACUAAUUCCCAAUAAACUUCUCUUGACAAGGGGAAACCUAAAAAUUCUACCAUUACGCUUAAAGUAAGGUAGAGAAAGGAGUACAGAUCAAAUUUUAAAACCACAAUGUACUUGAAAGUAAAUAAAAUUUUUUUGAUAAGAAACUAAAGAAAUGAAAAAUAGAAAACACAACAUAGAGCUCUAAAAAAACAAUGAAACCAAAGGAUUGAAAAUUCAUUAUCUACUAGAUACACGCAGUGAACAAAUAACACUCAAAUAUAAAAGAGAAGAAUAAAGAACAAUGCGAAAUGGAGGAGAAUAGGGGAUACGGAGAAAACUUACCUGACAAGUAUUUUCAAACAAACUUCUCUUUUCCUCGGGAAACCUGAAAAUUUUACUUUCACGCUUACCUGACAAGUAUGUGUGUACUAGAAAAUUAAUUUUGAAUUCGUUAAUUUCUUUAUUUGUUUUUUAUCUUGAUCUUGCGCUUGUCUCUUCCUCAUUUCUUUAGUUUUGUACCUGCAUAAUUUGAUUUCCUUUUAACGAUAUUGUGCCUUAAGAGUUAAUUUUCUUGUUCUCAUUUUUACAUUUGAUCUCUACUCCUUUUGCUCCAUUCAAUAAGCGUAAGGGUAGAAUUUUCAGGUUUCCCGAGGAAAAGAGAAGUUUGUUUGAAAAUACUUGUCAGGUAAGUUUUCUCUAUAUCCCCUAUUCUCCUCCAUUUCGCAUUGUUCUUCAUUCUUCUCUUUUAUAUUUGAGUGUUAUUUGUUCACUGCGUAUAUCUAGUAGAUAAUGAAUUUUCAAUCCUUUUAUUUCAUUGCUUUUUUUAGAGCUCUAUGUUUUGUUUUCUAUUUCUCAUUUCUUUAGUUUCUUAUCAAAAAAAUUUUAUUUACUUUCAAGUACAUUGUGGUUUUAAAAUUUGAUCUCUACUCCUUUCUCUACCUUGCUUUGAGCGUAAGGGUAGAAUUUUUAGAUUUCCCCUUGUCAAGAGAAGUUUAUUGGGAAUUAGUUCUUCGAUAAGUUUUCUCCAUAUUCUCUAUUCUCUCAAAUUUUGCGUUGUUCUUCUUAUUUAUCUGUUAUGUUUUCGUGUUAUAUGUUUACUAUAUGUGUGUUCUAGAAAAUUAAUAUUCAAUCCAAUAAUUUCUUUCUUUGUUUUUUAUCUUGAUGUUGCCUUGUCUAUUCCUCAUUUCUUUUGUUUCGUAUCGGCAGAAUUUGAUUUCCUUUCAACCAUAUUAAGCCUUAAGAGUUAAUUUUCUAAUUUUCGUUUUUACAUUUGAUCUCUACACCUUUCGCUACCUUCUAUAAGCGUAAGGGUAGAAUUUUCAAGUUUCUCGAGGUAAAGAGAAGUUUAUGAGGAAAUACUUGUCCAGUAAGUUUCCUCCGUAUCCCCUAUUCUCCUCCAUUUUGCAUUGUUCUUCAUUAUUCUCUUUUAUGUUUGAGUGUUAUUUGUUGACCGUUUGUGUGUAAUAGAGAAUUAAUUUUCAAUCCUUUGAUUCCUUUGUUUGUUUUUAAAAGUUUGAUGUUGUUUUUUCUAUUGCUCAUAUCUUUAGUUUCGUAUCCGAAUAAUUUUAUUUACUCUCAAGGACAUUGUGGUUUUAACAUUUGAUCUCUACUCCUUUCUCUACCUUGCAUUAAGCAUAAGGGUAGAAUUUUCAGGUUUCUCGUGGUAAAGAGAAGUUUAUUGGGAAUUAGUUCUUGAAUAAGUUUCCUCCGUAUUUCCUAUUCUCUCAAAUUUUGCACUGUCUACUGUAUGAGUGUACGAAAAAAUUACUUUUGAACCCGUUAAAAAAACAAAAAAUGGUAAACGAACUAAUUCCCAAUAAACUUCUCUUUACCUACAAAAACUUAAAAACUCAAACCCUCUUCUUAACGCUCGGUAUAGAUAGGAGUAUAGAUCAAAUGUAAAAACAAAAAUUUCCUUGAAAGUAAAAAUUAUUAUUCGGAUACUAAUCNAAAGAUAUGAGCAAUAGAAAAAACUACAUCAACUUUUAAUAAACAACAAAGGAAUCAAAGGAUUGAAAAUUAAUUCUCAAUUACACACAAACGGUCAACAAAUAACACUCAAACAUAAAAGAGAAUAAUUAAUAACAAUGCAAAAUGGAGGAGAAUAUGGGAUACGGAGGAAACUUACCUGACAAGUAUUUCCCCAUAAACUUCUCUUUACCUCGAGAAACUUGAAAAUUCUACCCUUACGCUUAUAGAAGGUAGCGAAAGGUGUAGAGAUCAAAUGUAAAAACGAGAAUUAGAAAAUUAACUCUUAAGGCUUAAUAUGGUUGAAAGGAAAUCAAAUUCUGCCGGUACGAAACUAAAGAAAUGAGGAAUAGACAACGCAACAUCAAGAUAAAAAACAAAGAAAGAAAUUAUUGGAUUCAAUAUUAAUUUUCUAGAACACACAUAUAGUAAACAUAUAAUACGAAAACAUAAAAGAUAAAUAAGAAGAAUAACGCAAAAUUUGAGAGAAUAGGAAAUAUGGAGAAAACUUAUCGAAGAACUAAUUCCCAAUAAACUUCUCUUGACAAGGGGAAACCUAAAAAUUCUACCAUUACGCUUAAAGUAAGGUAGAGAAAGGAGUAGAGAUCAAAUUUUAAAACCACAAUGUACUUGAAAGUAAAUAAAAUUUUUUUGAUAAGAAACUAAAGAAAUGAAAAAUAGAAAACACAACAUAGAGCUCUAAAAAAAACAAUGAAACCAAAGGAUUGAAAAUUCAUUAUCUACUAGAUACACGCAGUGAACAAAUAACACUCAAACAUAAAAGAGAAGAAUAAAGAACAAUGCAAAAUGGUGGAGAAUAGGAGAUACGAAGAAAACUUACUCGACAAGUAUUUCCAAACAAACUACUCUUUUCCUCGAGAAACCUUAAAAUUCUACUUUCACGCUUACCUGACAAGUAUGUGUGUACUAGAAAAUUAAUUUUGAAUUCGUUAAUUUCUUUAUUUGUUUUUUAUCUUGAUCUUGCGUUGUCUAUUCCUCAUUUCUUUAGUUUUGUACCUGCAUAAUUUGAUUUUCUUUCAACGAUAUUGUGCCUUAAGAGUUAAUUUUCUUGUUCUCAUUUUUACAUUUGAUCUCUACUCCNNNNNNNNNNNNNNNNNNNNNNNNNNNNNNNNNNNNNNNNNNNNNNNNNNNNNNNNNNNNNNNNNNNNNNNNNNNNNNNNNNNNNNNNNNNNNNNNNNNNAGUUCUUGGAUAAGUUUCCUCCGUAUUCCCUAUUCUCUCAAAUUUUGCACUGUCUACUGUAUGAGUGUACGAGAAAAUUACUUUUGAACCCGUUAAAAAAACAAAGAAAGGUUAACGAACUAAUUCCCAAUAAACUUCUCUUUACCACGAAAAACCUAAAAAUUCUACCAUUCUUUUUAAAGCAAGGUAGAGAAAGGAGUAGAUAUCAAAUGUUAAAACCACAAUGUCCUUGAAAGUAAAUCAAAUUAUUCUGAUACGAAACUAAAGAAAUGAGGAAUAAAAAACACAACAUCAAGCUUUAAAAAAAAAACAAAGAAAUCAAAGAAAUCAAAGGAUUGAAAAUUAAUUCUCUACUACACACAAGCGGUCAACAAAUAACACUCAAACAUAAAAGAGAAUAAUGAAGAACAAUGCAAAAUGGAGGAGAAUAGGGGAUACGGAGGAAACUUACCUGACAAGUAUUUCCCCAUAAACUUCUCUUUACCUUGAGAAACUUGAAAAUUCUACCCUUACGCUUAUAGAAGGUAGCGAAAGGUGUAGAGAUCAAAUGUAAAAACGAGAAUUAGAAAAUUAACUCUUAAGGCUUAAUAUGGUUGAAAGCAAAUCAAAUUUUGCCGAUACGAAACUAAAGAAAUGAGGAAUAGACAACGCAACAUCAAAAUAAAAAACAAAGAAAGAAAUUAUUGGAUUCAAUAUUAAUUUUCUAGAACACACAUAUAAUAAACAUAUAACACGAAAACAUAAAAGAGAAAUAAGAAGAACAACGCAAAAUUUGAGAGAAUAGGGAAUAUGGAGAAAACUUAUCUAAGAACUAAUUCCCAAUAAACUUCUCUUGACAAGGGGAAACUUAAAAAUUCUAUCCUUACGCUUAAAGCAAGGUAGAGAAAGGAAUAGAGAUCAAAUUUUAAAACCACAAUGUACUUGAAAGUAAAUAAAAUUUUUUUGAUAAGAAACUAAAGAAAUGAGAAAUAGAAAACACAACAUAGAGCUCCAAAAAAAACAAUGAAAUCAAAGGAUUGAAAAUUCAUUAUCUACUAGAUACACGCAGUGACCAAAUAACACUCAAAUAUAAAAGAGAAGAAUAAAGAACAAUGCAAAAUGGUGGAGAAUAGGAGAUACGAAGAAAACUUACUCGACAAAUAUUUCCAAACAAACUACUCUUUUCCUCGAGAAACCUUAAAAUUCUACUUUCACGCUUACCUGACAAGUAUGUGUGUACUAGAAAAUUAAUUUUGAAUUCGUUAAUUUCUUUAUUUGUUUUUUAUCUUGAUCUUGCGUUGUCUAUUCCUCAUUUCUUUAGUUUUGUACCUGCAUAAUUUGAUUUUCUUUCAACGAUAUUGUGCCUUAAGAGUUAAUUUUCUUGUUCUCAUUUUUACAUUUGAUCUCUACUCUUUUCGCUACAUUCUAUAAGCGUAAGGGUAGAAUUUUCAGGUUUCCCGAGUAAAAGAGAAGUUUGUUUGAAAAUACUUGUCAGGUAAGUUUUCUUCGUAUCCCCUAUUCUCCUCCAUUUCGCAUUGUUCUUCAUUCUUCUCUUUUAUAUUUGAGUGUUAUUUGUUCACUGCGUGUAUCUAGUAGAUAAUGAAUUUUCAAUCCUUUGAUUUCAUUGUUUUUUUUUAGAGCUCUAUGUUGUGUUUUCUAUUUCUCAUUUCUUUAGUUUGUUAUCAAAAAAUUUUUAUUUAC
rnacentral:lncRNA from 1 species